rnacentral:rRNA from 1 species
GAUGAACGCUGGCGGCGUGCCUAAUACAUGCAAGUCGAGCGAAGCGGGGACGGGUGAGUAACACGUGGAUAACCUCCUAUAAGACUGGGAUAACUUCGGGAAACCGGUGCUAAACCGGAUACUUAUCGAUGGAUCCGCGCGGCAUUAGCUAGUUGGUAAGGUAACGGCUUACCAAGGCGACGAUGCAUAGCCGACCUGAGAGGAUGAGCGGCCACACUGGAACUGAGACACGGUCCAGACUCCUACGGGAGGCAGCAGUGGGGAAUCUUGCGCGAUGGGCGAAAGCCUGACGGAGCAACGCCGCGUGAGUGAUGAAGGUCUUCGGGUCGUAAAGCUCUGUUAUCAGGGAAGCGGUACCUACUCAGAAAGCAACGGCUAACUACGUGCCAGCAGCCGCGGUAAUUC